rnacentral:rRNA from 1 species
GACGAACGCUGGCGGCGUGCUUAACACAUGCAAGUCGAACGAAAAGCGACGGAAGCUUGCUUCUAUCAAUCUUAGUGGCGAACGGGUGAGUAACGCGUAAUCAACCUGCCCUUCAGAGGGGGACAACAGUUGGAAACGACUGCUAAUACCGCAUACGAUCUAAUCUCGGCAUCGAGGAUGGAUGAAAGGUGGCCUCUACAUGUAAGCUAUCACUGAAGGAGGGGAUUGCGUCUGAUUAGCUAGUUGGAGGGGUAACGGCCCACCAAGGCGAUGAUCAGUAGCCGGUCUGAGAGGAUGAACGGCCACAUUGGGACUGAGACACGGCCCAGACUCCUACGGGAGGCAGCAGUGGGGAAUCUUCCGCAAUGGACGAAAGUCUGACGGAGCAACGCCGCGUGAGUGAUGACGGCCUUCGGGUUGUAAAGCUCUGUUAAUCGGGACGAAAGGCCUUCUUGCGAAUAGUGAGGAGGAUUGACGGUACCGGAAUAGAAAGCCACGGCUAACUACGUG